rnacentral:rRNA from 1 species
GACGAACGCUGGCGGCGUGCUUAACACAUGCAAGUCGAACGGAAAGGCCUGCUUUCCCUUUUUGUUUUCGUGUACUCGAGUGGCUAACGGGUGAGCAACACGUGAGUGAUCUGCCCCCAACUUGGGUAUAAGCCUCGGAAACUGGGUCUAAUUCCCGAUAGGACUGCAUGGUUGUGCCGUGGGUGGCAAACUAUCUUCUAGUGGUUGGUGAUGAGCUCGCGGCCUAUCAGCUUGUUGGUGUGGUAAUGUCCUACCAAGGCGGCGACGGGUAGCCGGCCUGGGAGGGUGGACGGCAACAUUGGGACUGAGAUACGGCCCAGACUCGUACGGGAGGCAGCAGUGGGGCAUAUUGCACAAUGGGCGGAAGCCUGAUGCAGCGACGCAGCGUGGGGGAUGACGGCCUUCGGGUUGUAAACUACUUUCGAACGCGAGGAAGCCAACUGGCUGGAAGGGUGGUGACGGUAGUGGUAGAAGAAGCCCCGGCUAACUACGUG